UUUUCGAUGGACAAACAGGCGCCACAUAUAAUUUUUUACAUCAAAAUUCCCCAUGUGAAUCACACUUCCAACCAACACAACCCACUGCACAAGAGCCAAGGAGGCGAGAUUCUCUUUCACGCUUCUUCUUCUUCUUCUUCUUCUUCUUCUUCUUCUUCCUAUUUCCGAGGGCCUUUUAUGGUGGUUUACGGUGAAUAAGGACAUUCGAGGAUGUGAGGCUACGGUUUGGGGCGAAUCUGGAGGUGGGUAUCUAGUAAAUUGAGAUUUCUCCAUCGGAGAUUUGUUUUGGUUGAAGGCGGUAGAAAUGGAGGAUAAGGACAUUUACGCCAAGGAACUGGAUGUCGCUGUAAGAGUUGUGCACAUGGCGUGUUCUCUGUGCCGGAGAGUGCAAGAGAGGGUGGUUUCAACGCGUGGUGAUCAGGUGAAGUCUAAGGAUGAUGACUCUCCUGUUACCGUUGCAGAUUGGAGCGUUCAAGCAGCUGUUAGCUGGAUAUUGUCAACAAACUUUGGAUGUGAAAAUGUCUCCAUUGUUGCCGAGGAAGAUGUUCAGACUCUCUCCAAUUCUGAGUCAUCUGGUUUGCUGGCAGCCGUUGUCAAUACCGUGAAUGAAUGCUUGGGUGAAGCACCAAAGUAUGGACUUCAGAGUCCAAAGAGAGCACUGAAUACCCAAGAAAUUCUGGAGGCCAUCAGCCGAUGCAACUCAACUGGUGGCCGCACUGGAAGGCAUUGGGUACUUGACCCUGUUGAUGGAACAUUGGGAUUUGUGCGAGGGGAUCAGUAUGCUGUAGCUUUAUCAUUGCUUGAAGAGGGAAAAGUUGUUAUUGGAGUCCUUGGGUGCCCUAAUUACCCAAUGAAAAAAGAAUGGCUGAAGUAUCAUCAUCGAUACUAUGAAACCAUGUCAAAGCUUUCUCCAACUUCUGAUACAUGGGAAAAGGGAUGCGUGAUGUAUGCAAGGAGAGGCACUGGCAAGGCAUGGAUGCAGCCAUUGAUCUAUGGAGACCAGAAACUUGAAUGGCCAAAUUCUGCAAGACUGCUUCAGGUUUCUUCAAUUAAUGAUCCAGCACUGGCAACAUUCUGUGAACCAGUGGAGAAGGCAAACUCUAAUCAUUCCUUCACAGCAGGACUUGCUAACAGCAUGGGGCUUAAAAAGAAGCCUCUAAGGGUCUAUAGCAUGGUCAAAUAUGCAGCCAUAGCUCGGGGAGAUGCUGAGAUCUUUAUGAAGUUUGCAAGGGCAGGCUACAAAGAGAAAAUAUGGGAUCAUGCUGCUGGUGUUGUGAUUGUAGAAGAGGCUGGUGGUGUGGUUACUGAUGCAGGAGGGAGACCUCUGGACUUCUCAAAAGGAGUAUACUUGGAAGGCCUUGACCGUGGCAUAAUUGUUUGUUCUGGUCCCAGUUUGCAUGAGAAAAUCGUAGGGGCUGUUUAUGCUAGUUGGGACUCUUCCAAUCUUUGAGGCAUUCGCAUUUUGGCAAGUACAUUAAUUUUGACUUAAUGUGGGGCCUAAUAACAUGGGCAAGAAAACAGCUGAAGCACUCGCUGUCAAAAGCCUCGCCGACAGAUUUUGACUACACUUCUGUUUAUUUAUGCUACGUGUUUGUGAAGUCAAUCUUGCAGCAGUUUUUACCCUGCCGUCACAUUAUUUUUUGCAGAUUGGAUCAGGGAAGAAAUUGCUUGCUUGGGUAAUGUGUUUGGUCCUUUUUUGUACCCCAGACAAUCCUAUUCAUGUUUUCAAAUGGAAAUAUACUUAAACAAGGUCUUUCUUCCUUUUUUUUCCUGUUCCCUCGAGAUGGAUUGCGCCAUUGAAUUUAGCCUAAAAAGAAGGCAGAGUCUAGUAAAUUCUGUCUGACCAUGUUAAGCCAGAAUUAAAAGCUUUGUAUUAACUUAUUCCAGGUUCUGUGAGUGAAUGGGAAUUAUGGGCAAGCCCAUUACAGCCCGUAUAUCACUUCCAGCUUUUGAUGACCUUGAGAAAUUCAACAGUCUCCCAGUCUUCCCUGGAA